AAACACUAUUUGAAAAACCCCCAAAUCUGUGACCCCUCCCUACCAGCUCCACUAGAGAGUUCCAUGGCCGUCACACAGUGGCAGGGUUUUGCUGACAAGUGGACACCAGAAUUGUCCAACUCGAUUGGAGGCAUCGUGAUCUGCAGAUCUCAGGAAAUGUGCUAAGCCCCCAAGUCACAUCAUUCCAGUUGGUUCUGGACCCCAGCGAGCUUCAUCAGCGCUGAGUGUGGGAGACACUGUGAAACCUUGUUAAGAUCAAGCAGACGGCACACCUUACUUCCUUAUGCAGACACUGGGAAAGACACACAGAGAUGGGCAUGUGGGAAAGACCAAAACUUUCUGCCCUCAGUGGGAAGGGGCGUCUGAAGAGCCACCCUCCUGCACCUCACUCCUUUCUACAAACAGGCGUUCUUGUUGCGUGGCCUGACUAGGGGAGCAGUGGCAGCUCCAGGAUUUCUCCCCAGCACAUUCUAGGUGGUGAUCCAGUUGGGAGUGGGGCCUUGAAGCUGUGUUUGCACCACACAAUGAGGCUGAGACAAUGCCAACCAGCGCUUCACGAUCAAAGCAUGCAGGCGGUGGGGUGUUGAUAUAUAACCUGCCUGUGACCGCACAGUGAGUCGAUGGUGGGCUUGAUUUGAAGUGCAGCAGUCUGGCUCCAGAAAUCACACUUUGCCCCCUGCGCCAGCCUGUCUCCAACCCUCAGACAAACAAAGGUUGUAGGCAGGCACAUGCAGAGAGACCCUUAUGCAUCUGGAAUUAGUGAGAGUUUGAAUGGAAUGGUGCACGUGCUAGGUUUUGUGUUGUCUAUGGGAUGUCUAAAAUAGAACCUUGCUCUGUAACUGACUUUAAAUUACUACGUUAAAAAAAAAAGACAUAAUUAUUCAUUGUUUCUAUGAUGGCUUCUAGUUUACAAAGAAAUUUUACACAUUUUUUGCUUUCUUUGUGUCCAGCCUGGGCUUUGGGUUUUGGGGGCGAGAAUCCCAUUGCUCUGUGGACUCCCAGCCCCCGGGGCCCCUGGGCACACGCAGACUCCCCUCUACUUGCCCAUCCUCCUUCUUUUCCAUUCUCCUUCACCAGUGGUCCAAACACGCGUAUCUGGCAUCUGCUGAGCAGGUUCUUGCUGUCCUGCUUCUUUGGCGCUUUCCAAACGGCAGAAUUCCAGUGCUGUCCUCUGGCAGGUGCCUGAGAAUUACCUGGAGGGGCCACAGCAGGGGACUCUCCGUGCUUCCUUCCCUGUGCUGGAAGAGUCACUUCAGCUGACCUCGUUCAAUGCCCUCUCACUUGGCUCCUGGCAGCCCCUUGCUCCUGGGAUCUCCGUGCCCAGGGACCACUCACCCUCCACCUAGGCAGAGAGCACAAAGCUC
rnacentral:lncRNA from 1 species